AAGUUCUAGUUAUCCCUGUCCACUUCACACUAAGCAGCCUACGUUGCUUUCACUAAUAAAUUUAAAAUUCUCUGAUACUGAAUCUAAUUUUGAAUUUCAUGGUCUACUGUGAAAGAGUUUCCACUUUUAAUAAUAGAUGGUUUUAUAUUUUAGUAACAUACAUAAGGCCUUGCAUGUUCUUGAAAUUUUCAUCUAUUCUCAAUGCAGAUUGAGCUUCAAUAGACAGUUGAUACGCAACUUUUACAUGUGAAAGAGUUGUCAGGUUUGGAAACAGGAUCGCCGUUACAUGAUUUAAAUGCUUGCAACAUUUGAAAUGGAGGAAAUAGGUGGGCCAAUAAAUUGGAAAUGUUAGAUAUUUUAGUGCUUUCACAAUCUAAAUUUGUGGUGGUAGUGAGAAGAUUUCCUUCUACUUGGGAUUUCCUACAUCUCUUAUCAUUUGUUGUUUUCCUGCUUUAGGAUAAUAACUCACCAUUCCCUCUCUCUCAAUUCUCUCUCUAUCAUGCUAUAUGCUGUACUUGUGAAACCAAUUAGGUAUGAUUGUAGUCUGAGAUAGAUCAACAUGUUCUCAGUUUAAUUAUUUAA